AGAAGAAAGAUCGGUAGCUCAGGACGUUGAAAAUCGAUUCCCGAUUUUCAGACUACAGAAUCGAUCCCUGAAUUAUCCCAAGAUUUACGAUCUUACAUAUAUAU